CUUUUUUUAUUGAAUCUAUAUAUAUUAUUAAAAAGAGGAUAGUUUUAGUACAAAAAAUAGUUAAUUAGUUAUUGUUUUGAAUUUAAAAAUAAUUAAAUAUUAAUAUUUAAUUUCAAAACCUGAAUCUAUGUGAUUGUGUGUGUCGUGUGAGAGGUAGUGGAAAGCGGGUGUGUGCAUAUGUAAAUGUGUGUGUCGUGUGAGGGACUGAAAACGUGGGUGGGUGGCUAUUUGCAUAUGUAACUGCUUUUAAAAGUUGAAUAGAAUCAUUACUUGCAAAUCUUAUCUGCAAGUCAACAUUACUUGAAUUAGAGUUGGUUACAACUUCUCAUCCAAAACUGAACAGUCAAGUAUAAUUUUACUACCUUCAUCUUUAGGCAUAAUUCUAUCUAGAAACGGUGGUAGUUUUCUUUUUUCUAAAACUCCCAUGAAUCUUUCUCCACACUAUAUUCACAUGAAAUGUAUAGUCCAGUCACAUGUUCUAAAAUUCACAUCUUUUUUUUAAAAGUACAGCAAGAUUCCUAUUUUUCCAAUUAGGUUCACUAUACUCGACAACACUACUCAACAACCUUAAAACUGAUCAAACUUCUUUUAUGUUUCACUUUUACAUGAUUAGAAAAAACAAAUAAACCACACGUUCUCAUGUUGGUGUCUCGGAGAGAUUUCAGGAGAUUGCAUUGAAUGCACAAUCCUGAAUUUCUUUAUGGAGCUUGGUUUGAGUUUGAUACUGUAAUAGAUUUUGUUUCAGUCCUGUAAUAUUGUGUUUCUAUUUGUUUACGGAUAGUUGGUUAAUUGUGAACGUGAACACGGAUUCAAGCGUAGUUGACUGAUUUUGGUGAUGUUCGGAACAAUGACAACUGGGCAAUUUUGAUGAAAAGGAGAAGAAACUGGUAUAAUGACAGCUCAUCAGAUUGAUUCAUUUACAAAGGCCACAACGAUGGAGGGCCAAGAGACCACCUUAAUUAUAGAUUAUGUUCUCCGUCUCUGUGUUCUAUUACUUUUUGGUGUCAACUUCCUCGCUUGCAGAAAAAAGAAGCACAUCAAUAUUGGUAUAUAUCUCUGAUUCUUGGUGUUUGAGGUUGAUUAUUAUUAUGCACAGUAAGCUCGAUAUAUAGGAAACUUUAAAAAAAAAUUAGUUGACUGACUAGAGAGCAAGUGAGUAGAAGAAAAGAGCAAAAGAGGUGUCCGGAAGAAGGAGAAAAAUAAGAAGAGGACAAGUUACUUGAAGAAGAAGAGAGUCAUCGUGAAUGAAAAAGAAAAAAUGAGAAGAGAAAUGGUCUUUAAAUGAAUUGUAAGUGUACGUUUUUUUAACAUAUCUAUCUCCUGACAUAAAUAAGUUUGUCAAGUUCAAACAGGAUAACCUAUAAUUGUGUAUAGUUACACAAAUGUAGCAUACAAUAUUACCAAGGAACAGUAUAUAGUUUAUUAGCGUAUAAGUUUAAAUAGACACUGAAUAUAUAUUUAAUGAGUUUUCAUACCUAAUAAUACAGUUGCUAGCUUAAUAGAGUUCAUUUACACUUGAAUGCCUUUCGGUUACGACAUGGCCUAAGAAUUUUCUGCUUCUAUCUUUGGAGCAGAAAAAGAAUUCGAUCUAUCACAUCUUUAUACUUGUGAAGUUUUUGCGGUAACUGGAGCAAAAAUAGGCUCCAAAUUGAGGAUAUGGUCAAUCUAUGGUGGCCAUGGCCAAGUCACAAGGACUAAACAACCACAUUUGGCAUGUUUUCUCAGGAAAUUCAUAUUACAUGAAAAGAAGGGAAUAAAUGGCAGCUGAUAGACUAAACUCCCUUUACACGGAGUUACAAAAUUAGUGCUUCGGCUCUAUUAUACACACAAUGGAACUGACAAUUGCUGUGAAUGAGGAUCUAAGUAAGCUGCCUCACUAUGGUUGGUUUACAAAAUCAGAACUCAUGUAACUAUGACAAACUUACAGAGAUCAAACUGCAUAGUUUCCUGUUUAGUUUAUAUUUCUUUCUAAGUUUCCAUCAAGCAUUCACCUAUUAGCAAAAGUGAAUCAAACUUGCACAAUUUCUCAGUUCUAAACUUUGUUAUUCAUUUAUGUGUAAAUUGUUCCUUAGAGUCUAUAGUUGCUUUACUGCGUUCAAGUCCAUCAAGGUACUUCAAACAAACUAGCUGCCAUAUCAAAGAAACAUUCUCCAUGGAUAUCGUACAAAUGAAUUGAGUUAAAUUUACAGGAAGAGAUUUAAGCAAACAUGUUCAUGUACCCUUUAAUUAUUUAAGUUCUUGAGUUGUUUCUGUAUCCCAUACAAUA